UACGAGUGCCCCAAGCGUUAUCCGGAAUCAUUGGGCGUAAAGGGUGUGUAGGUGGCGCCGUAAGUCGGGUGUGAAAUUUCGGAGCUUAACUCCGAAACUGCAUUCGAUACUGCGGUGCUUGAGGACUGGAGAGGAGACUGGAAUUCAUGGUGUAGCAGUGAAAUGCGUAGAGAUCAUGAGGAAGACCAGUGGCGAAGGCGGGUCUCUGGACAGUUCCUGACACUGAGACACGAAGGCCAGGGGAGCAAACGGG
rnacentral:rRNA from 1 species